rnacentral:rRNA from 1 species
AACGCGAAGAACCUUACCUACUCUUGACAUCCUCGGAAUGAAGCAGAGAUGUUUCAGUGCCUUCGGGAACCGAGAGACAGGUGCUGCAUGGCUGUCGUCAGCUCGUGUCGUGAGAUGUUGGGUUAAGUCCCGUAACGAGCGCAACCCCUAUCAUUAGUUGCCAGCGAGUAAUGUCGGGAACUCUAAUGAGACUGCCGGUGAUAAGCCGGAGGAAGGCGGGGAUGACGUCAAGUCAUCAUGGCCCUUACGAGUAGGGCUACACACGUGCUACAAUGGGCGGUACAGAGGGAAGCGAAGCCGUGAGGUGAAGCGAAUCUCAUAAAAGCCGCUCGUAGUCCGGAUUGGAGUCUGCAACUCGACUCCAUGAAGUUGGAAUCGCUAGUAAUCGCGGAUCAGAACGCCGCGGUGAAUACGUUCUCGGGCCUUGUACACACCGAGACGAC